GGUCCCACUGUGUCAUCGUUCCUGCCUGGGAUGAAAAUGGAAGCUUGUACCCAGGAGUGACAAAGGAGUUGUGCCAGAAGUCAGGGCUGGGACUCAAGCCUUCUGGCUUGCAACCAGCAUCAUCCUCAUGGUCAAGAUCAAGUCUUCAGCUGUCCACCUGCAGACCCACCCAACCCACACCUGGGUUUGAAGCAAGGGAACAGGUACCUGCUGGCUGUCACCUGCCACUCACUGCUGGCUCUGGAAUUUUGUUAGUUGGUGCUAUGAUUCUAGGCAAAUCUCCCAGAUCAGUACCUGGAGGACAGCAAUGAGUUUUAGAUCACUGGCACUACAAAGAUGAAGGUCAGAGUCAAAGUCAAGAUUGGUCAUGAAGAUGAAGGUCAAGAAAGGAAGCAGCCCCGCCUCUACAGAGGCAAGGACUAGUAGGCCCCACUUAACCUGGAGUCACAGACUGAAGCCCUGCCUCACACUGAGACCUCUCCACACCCUCCCCAGCUCCAGCUGGAGGCAGUUUGGACCCAAAGCCAAGGAAGAGGUGAAGAUCAUGGAGCACCAAACACAGACGCUGCAGCUGAUGCCUCACCUGGCUACAACAUUGCCAUGGCUUCACGGGCAGGGUUACAUGAUGGAUAAAAGAAUCUCGGCUCAAUGUGUGACCCAGAUGCAUUUGCAACUUUUGAAGGUGACAAUGUUGUUUUGGAUCAGUUUCCUGGCAUUGAACAUGGAUACAGUCAGUAAACUCACCUUUCUGUUGAAGGCAGUGAAUUUUCAUGGAAAGGAUUCUUCAGUGGUGCUUAGUGGCCAGAAUUCAUCAUAAGUAAUUGUGAUGCCGACUUCGACUUUAACUUGGCUCAGUUCAAGACUGCUCUCCCCGGCUUCACAAGUUGAGUGCUUUGGUCUUAAGUUGCGCAGAUCUGGUAAUUCCUUGAAAACAACCUUCCAUCACAUGAGGCCUUUUAAUUCAGUCCACAGCAAACCACGGAGAGGCAGCUUCUGAUGCAUUUCCAUCCUGGAAAGGUGAAAAGCCCUUUUUCUCCCACUCCUGAAAGUAGGGGAUUAUAUUUACAAUGGGUUACAAUAUGAAAUGAAAGUGAUGUCAGCCCUCCUAAUAAAAG
rnacentral:lncRNA from 1 species